GACGAACCGUCCUAACGUUGUUCGGAAUCACUGGGCUUAAAGGGCGCGUAGGCGGUCGGCAAAGUCAGGGGUGAAAUCUUUCGGCUUAACCGGAAAAGUGCCUUUGAAACUAGUCGACUCGAGCGAGAUAGGGGCAUGUGGAACUUCCGGUGGAGCGGUGAAAUGCGUUGAGAUCGGAAGGAACGCCGGUGGCGAAAGCGACAUGCUGGAUCUCUGCUGACGAUGAGGCGCGAAAGACAGGGGAGCAAACGGG
rnacentral:rRNA from 1 species